rnacentral:lncRNA from 10 species
GCCAACAUGGCGAAACCCCAUCUCUACUAAAAAUACAAAAAUUAGCCAGACUUGGUGGCGUGCGCCUGUAAUCCCAGCUACCCAGGAGGCUGAGGCAGGAGAAUCGCUGGAACCCAGGAGGCAGAGGCUACAGUGAGCCGAGACUGCGCCAACACACUCCGGGCUGGGCGACACAGCAAGACUCCGUCUCCGAAACAACAACAACAAAAAUCUAUUGCGAACAUUUAAAAACUAGGAGAUGCUACAAACAAAUAUGAAUUUUUACUUCUUUUGAACAAAUCAGAAGAUCUGUGCAUCUUAGGUCCACAUUCCCCACAGCAGUGACAUGCUGGAGUGGCCCUCUGGACUGGCCAUGCAUUCCCAAGGCCACCACUCCCAAGGGUGUUACCAUUUGAAGCACUGUUGUCAUUUACCAUCUCAUUUGCUGGUUAUUUUUGCUUACAUUUGGCCCACUUCACUCAGUCACAUUCCCUGCCUGGCCCCUGGAGCACUCUUGGAGUUUGUGACUCCCAGUU